CAUGUUUUGGUAGGUGCCGCAAGGUAAACACGGUAAACAGAUGGCUGUGCUCGUCGUUGACCCAGACGGUUGGGAAUGAUUUUUAGCUUGCCGUCGUAGUUGUACUGCUUGUUGUACUACAAUGGACGUGGCAUCCAGGUUCUCAUCAUGACCAGUGUUAAACCCUGGCAACAAAGCCAUGGCUACUGUGUUCGACCACAAUCGAAACUCGACGGGACUCAAGUUUCCCAAGAAAGAAUGGACCAGAGAGGUCGAUCGCAGCUGGGACCAGGCACUGCCGGUGCCCAAGUGGGCCAUACACUUGGGACCUUGGCUAGUGGCAGGGGCUUCAUUGGCUUGCUUUGGCCACAGCCUUGCCGGUGACUUUGUGUUUGACGACACAGAGGCCGUGGUGCACAAUGUGGACAUACAGCCAG
rnacentral:lncRNA from 1 species